ACAACUUGUUUUCAUUUUUUUUUCAAAUGCUUUUUGUUAAAUUUUGUGCUUUCUAAAAAUAUUUUCAUGCUUUCAGUGUUAUAUUUGACCGUAAAUGGGGCGCGAAUGGGGCUCCCAUUUACUGAAAUACCAUGAAUGUUGAUCCCUCCAUUUCAAACACCAGUAUUUUAUGCUCGGCGUGGUGUAUGCUUCGUGAUCGACGAGCUCUGAAAUAUUUAGAACAAUUCAUUUUUUUUAUUUAUAUGUUCUCGUUCUGACAUUACAUUCGUAUCUCUUUAACGAAUCUACCGCUUAAGAGAAAAAUGAUGACGAAUUUUUUUAAAUGGACAGAUGUCUAUGGAAAUUAAAUUAUGCCAUACUAAACGGGAAUUUUCGAUGUUGAUUGAUCAUGGUGGGCAGCUUAACCAUAACUCAAUUUAGAGGAUCAGUUGGAGCACAUUAGCAUAAGCAGAUACAUAAGGAGCAAGUUUUGUUUAAAUAAUUAUGCAAAAUGUAUAAAAUUUUGAAUGUUGUCACAAUAUGUUUAAAAUUUUACGUUUUAGUGUAAUUUACAUAUCACACAACAACAUUGCAAAAGUAUUGUUAAAAUGUUGCCUAAUAUAAGUAAAUAAUUUAUAUCUUAUUCAGCAUGUU